GACAUCGUCACCCAGACUCAUUGGAAAUGAUCUACACUUUAAUGUGAAGGAGGACGAAGAUGUGACUGUGAUUGAAGAAGUUGGGGCGAUCAUAAAGCGACAUCCAGAGAAGAUACAGCUGUAUUUGCAUGUGGAUCAGAACUUUCAACAUCUCAGUGAAGCCCUCAAGGAUAUGAUAUGCAAAUGUUUGCCACAUAUCAGCAGAAUCAGGCUUCCCAGUCACAAGAACAACCUUUUGCUACAACUUUUUCUUCAAGCAGCACUAAACGAAGUGCGAACAGGACAGAAGACAGUGAUGCUGCUGUCAAAAGUCAUUGAUUUUAAUACCGUUUUUCAUAAAAACCUUUACGAUGGAAAAAUGUCACAGAGUCACACUGAAUUUCUGCUGGAUCUGUUUUCCCAUAUUAAAGUCCUUGAAGCAGAAACAGGCCAGAGUGUUCAGCCGUUAUUAAGUCCAGUCUAUCAGUCAGCUCCUGCAGUCUGGAAUAUAGACCUCUCUAAGCGGAAGGCAUCCAUCUUCCUUGAAGUGCUGAAAUUCCAGACAGACAAAAAGCCAGUGAACAUUAUAAGCUGGUCAGACGAAGAGAAUGAACGAUGGAGUCUUCUUCAGUGUCUGCCCUAUAUUUCCCAGCUGGGGCAGCAGAGUGUGACAGAGAGACAGGAGAGAAGAACCUGC